rnacentral:tRNA from 1 species
GGGGAGAGGUCUAUUUUAAGAUAGAGCGUCUGACUACGAAUCAGAAGGUCGGGGGUUCAAAUCCCUCUCUCACUC